rnacentral:rRNA from 1 species
GAUGAACGCUGACAGAAUGCUUAACACAUGCAAGUCAACUUGAACUUCGGUUUGGGUGGCGGACGGGUGAGUAACGCGUAAAGAACUUGCCUCACAGAUAGGGACAACAUUUGGAAACGAAUGCUAAUACCUGAUAUUAUGAUUUUAGGGCAUCCUAGGAUUAUGAAAGCUAUAUGCGCUGUGAGAGAGCUUUGCGUCCCAUUAGCUAGUUGGAGAGGUAACGGCUCACCAAGGCGAUGAUGGGUAGCCGGCCUGAGAGGGUGAUCGGCCACAAGGGGACUGAGACACGGCCCUUACUCCUACGGGAGGCAGCAGUGGGGAAUAUUGGACAAUGGACCAAGAGUCUGAUCCAGCAAUUCUGUGUGCACGAUGAAGUUUUUCGGAAUGUAAAGGGAUUUCAGUUGGGAAGAAAAAAAUGACGGUACCAACAGAAGAAGUGACGGCUAAAUACGUG